rnacentral:lncRNA from 1 species
UGUGAGUAAUCUAUAUUUUAUUACCGGCUGGUGUAGCGGUAUCUAAGUUACUAGAAGGCUAGGGAACCACGCUAACAAGUAGUGGUCACCAGACUAGGACAGUCUGUGCGUAGCCGUUGAGAAGUGUACAAGAAAGAAAAGCAAGUCGCAUCCUAACAAUAAAAAUCAUAAAACAAAAAUUCAGUCUAAUAUUAUCUUUACUAUAGAGAAACCCUCUACACUGGUACAAUGUGUAUCGUCAUCUAGCGGUACUAGCUAUUAUUUCAUUGAACCGACUAGUAAAAUUAUGCAGCCAUCUAGCGGAAGUAAAUGUUACUAUGUCUUACCGACUUGUAGAAUAUGUUUCGCCAUCUAGAAAAAAGAUAAAACAUCACUAGGAUAAAAUCAAGAUGGCUACCUGUCAAUGUACUCUGAAUACCGUAAAUACAGACUAUGUGCAGUUGAUCGCCAAUUCUGGAUGAAAAUAAUUAAACCGGAUAAAGUGCUGUGGGACAAUGUUAUGUCAUAACCUAAGAAAAGUAAUUUUCUUAAUUAAAUCCGAAAAUACAGAUGAAUUCCAGACGUUCUUUUUAUCAAAUUAUUAUAACAAAUACUAGUCAACAUGCAGAUCUAUAUUUUUAAUUCCAAUCCAAGAACAUUAUACUCACGAAAAGAAGAAUUCAUUACACCAUUCAAUCAAUGGAGAUAUGUAUUUCAUUUUCUUACGGCUAACGAUUAGAAGAUUUGUAUUGAUUAUGUUAUCCGAACAAGAGUUUUAUUCUAUAAUAUUAUGUAAAUAGAAUGCAGUUGCAGUAACAAAGAAUAAUCACGACAAGAAUCUGUCGAAAGGGGAGGGAAAUAAUUUGACUAGAAGUUUCUACUCAUUAUUAUCAAGAUUGAUAAGAAGAAUCUAACAGUACUGCAACUAUGAAAGAUUUUUGAUUGCACUGAUCUUAUUAUACUUAUAUUUGGAAGAAACCAUAUGCAGUAUUAUCCUAUCAAAAUAAUACCAGAAGAAAUGCAUCCUAGUUAUCACAAAUUAAGAAAACAAAAGGCAAAUACAUUAUAUAAGGGAACUCUAUUUUAGAAGAAUAUCUUUUACAAAGUUUUGUACACGAGAUUCAAUGUGAAUUAUUAUGCAAAUAGAAUGCAGCAGCAGUGUCAAGAAAUAAUUAAAAUCAUAAAUUGUAAAAAGAGAUGUUAAAUCGUUUGACUGCAAGACACUACGCAUUACUUUUAACAACUAUAAGAAGAAUCUAACAAUACUGCAACCAUGAAAGAUUUUUGAAGAUACUACCCUCAUUAUACUUACAGUUGGAAAAAACCAUACUUAGUUCUAUCCUGUCAAUUGAAUUUCAGAAGGAAUGCAUCCUAGUUAUCACAAAUUGAGAAAACAAAUGGCAAAUACAUUCUAAUAUGCAGUUCUUAAUAUGUACUAAAUUUAUUAAUGUACNUCUUACUGGGAAUUUGAAAAUAUUACUGGGAAUCGACUAAGAUCAGAAAACUUUAUAUAUUUGUAAGAACUCAUGUCUUUUUUAUAGAAAUACCCCCAUGUAUUUUAUUGUGUAAAUAGAAUGCAGCUGUAGUGAGAAAAAAAAUUCUAGACAAUAAUAUGUUUAAAGGAUCUCCUGAACAUAGAAGUUGAUUGUUCAUAGAUGUCACUACACCCUCUGUUUAAUUAGGGAUCCUGUAGGAGGGAUGUGCCAUUGGCUGAAAAUUUUGGGGGACCACUUGAAUUUAUAAUAAUUUUUUCG